rnacentral:rRNA from 1 species
AAGCGGUGGAGCAUGUGGCUUAAUUCGAGGCUACGCGAAAAACCUUAUCCUGGGCUUGACAUGCAGGGAUUAGCCGGCGGAAACGUCGGUGACGCCGCAAGGUGGAACCUGUGCAGGUGCUGCAUGGCUGUCGUCAGCUCGUGCCGUGAGGUGUUGGGUUAAGUCCCGUAACGAGCGAAACCCCUGCGACCAGUUGCCAGCGCGUCAUGGCGGGGACUCUGGUCGGACCGCCGGCGUCAAGCCGGAGGAAGGCGGGGACG